GCUGGAUGAGAGAGCGCCGAUGUCGCCGUGAAGCGCGUCGAGAGGGGAGAGGAAAGAGGAACGGAAGCUGAGGGAGAUGAGGGUCUGGCAGAUUUUGUUGGCGACGAAGGCGGAUUUGCCGACGCCGGUGAAGAAGACGGUGCCGGAGGUGGAGAGGAGGAUGCGGGAGAAGUCUAGGGUUUGGGAGAGGUCAAGGUGUUUGAAGAAGUGGUUGAGGAGAUCUUGUUGGGAUUUGAAGAAGGCGAGGAGGUUGUCUUUGGAGAUUUCUUGGUGGUGAUGUUCGUUGCCCUGAUUAGCGGAGGAGAAGUCGAGAUACGGCGGUGGCAGAGAUCCCAUUGUUGAUCUGAGAAGGUGAGAUCUCUGUUAGAUUGAUCAAUCAUCUGGGAGAGAUCUUUUGCUUUGAAGAGAGAUCUUUAUAAAGCAGAGAAGAGGUGCAUUAAUGGAGACGGAGGGGCAAAACGGUAAAUUAAUGACUCCUUGAAUCUUUUCGUGGUGAUGAGUGAGGGUUUUGAGGGGCGUCGGUGAUUAGAUUUUUUUCCUCCGGUGAAAAUAGAAUUUUAUCAUCGUGGAUAGAAAGAACUACAAGUAAAAACAUUGGCUGCAACUCGAAUCCAUUUUUUUUAAAUUAAAACUUCAUGAAUACUUAAUUCAUAUUCAUGUGCAUUUCAAAAAAAGUUCAUCAGUUACAAUUAAAAUAUGAAAUGUAAAUUCCAUUUCAUUCCAUAACAUUUCAUAUUAUUCCAGAAAAAAAAAUAAUUAUCAUUUGAAAAAUCAUUCCAAAUCAAAAACGUUUUGGAAUAAAUGGAAUGCUGAUUCCAUUCCAUUAAAUUCCAGAAAUAAUAAUUCCUAUCAUUCCAUAUAUUCUUUUUAUUUGUCACCAGUUACACCCAUUAUUAAUCGGUCCCUUAUUAGAGGUAAAAGUAGCAUUUUACAAUAUUAUUAGUUAUUUUUUGCUGAGAACAAAAAUAUGAUUAGUCAUUAAUAAUCAAAUGAAAUGAUGCAAUUUUUUCUUAUGUGGUAUGAUGAUGUCGAUUAUCUGUUUACUAUUUUUGCUUAAGUCCACCGCAAUCGUAUCCCCAAACACCAUCUGGAUCGCCGUAGACGUCACCGGAGCGAGAUUAAACGGACACAACUCCCUCUGUAACGGCAAAUGCACAUUCAUAUCGCAAACUCCAGCGAGCGGAUUCCCAGGAACGGAGGUAAGAGAUACCAAGAAGGCUCCCCUAGCCUUAGCGCAGGGGACGAGACGGAGAAGCUCCUCGGUGUAGCCGGAUUUGCUGAAGAGGACGAGAACGUCGCUGGAUGAGAGAGCGCCGAUGUCGCCGUGAAGCGCGUCGAGAGGGGAGAGGAAAGAGGAACGGAAGCUGAGGGAGAUGAGGGUCUGGCAGAUUUUGUUGGCGACGAAGGCGGAUUUGCCGACGCCGGUGAAGAAGACGGUGCCGGAGGUGGAGAGGAGGAUGCGGGAGAAGUCUAGGGUUUGGGAGAGGUCAAGGUGUUUGAAGAAGUGGUUGAGGAGAUCUUGUUGGGAUUUGAAGAAGGCGAGGAGGUUGUCUUUGGAGAUUUCUUGGUGGUGAUGUUCGUUGCCCUGAUUAGCGGAGGAGAAGUCGAGAUACGGCGGUGGCAGAGAUCCCAUUGUUGAUCUGAGAAGGUGAGAUCUCUGUUAGAUUGAUCAAUCAUCUGGGAGAGAUCUUUUGCUUUGAAGAGAGAUCUUUAUAAAGCAGAGAAGAGGUGCAUUAAUGGAGACGGAGGGGCAAAACGGUAAAUUAAUGACUCCUUGAAUCU
rnacentral:lncRNA from 1 species